rnacentral:rRNA from 1 species
UACGUAGGGUGCAAGCGUUAAUCGGAAUUACUGGGCGUAAAGCGUGCGCAGGCGGUGAUGAAGACAGUUGUGAAAUCCCGGGCUCAACCUGGGAACUGCAUCUGUGACUGCAUCGCUGGAGUGCGGCAGAGGGGAGUGGAAUUCGCGAUGUAGCAGUGAAAUGCGUAGAUAUGCGGAGGACACGAUGGCGAAGGCAAUCCCUGGGCCGCACAUGACGUCGAUGACA